UACGGGAGGCAGCAGUGGGGAAUAUUGCACAAUGGGCGCAAGCCUGAUGCAGCCAUGCCGCGUGUAUGAAGAAGGCCUUCGGGUUGUAAAGUACUUUCAGUCGUGAGGAAGGUGUUAAGGUUAAUAACCUUAGCAAUUGACGUUAGCGACAGAAGAAGCACCGGCUAACUCCGUGCCAGCAGCCGCGGUAAUACGGAGGGUGCGAGCGUUAAUCGGAAUUACUGGGCGUAAAGGGCACGCAGGCGGUUAAUUAAGUUGGAUGUGAAAUCCCCGGGCUUAACCUGGGAAUGGCAUUCAGGACUGGUUAGCUAGAGUCUUGUAGAGGGGGUAGAAUUCCAUGUGUAGCGGUGAAAUGCGUAGAGAUGUGGAGGAAUACCGGUGGCGAAGGCGGCCCCUGGGACAAAGACUGACGCUCAUGUGCGAAAGCGUGGGGAGCGAAACAGGAUUAGAUACC
rnacentral:rRNA from 1 species